CCUCAGUUCAAAGCUCUCUCCUGUCUGAGGGAAUCAGAACCUGCAGCAUUCAAACACAGCUGGGACACCAGCAGCAGAAGAAUUAGAGCUUGGAAGGAAGAGCAGUUUUUAAUCAGCCCUGCUGAAGUAAUUUAGUUCACGCCUGUGCAGGAAGGGAUACAGCCAGCCAAUGUGCCCAGGCAGUGCUCUGGCCAUGAAAAGAGCUGAUAAUUCAUCAAAUCCAUAUCUGCUGUGAUGCCCAGGACUGGAUUUCUGCCUUGCAUCCAGCUCAGACCCUCUAACUCUGCAAGUGUUCCCAGGCUUUGGAAAAGUGACUGCUGGAGUGAGUUACAGCCCAUCUCACACAAGGAACCCCCACAGCCAGCACUGACACCGUGCACACCCCACGGACCCAGCAAGGACAAAUCCCAGGGGCUCAUCACCACCAGCACCAACUCCUGCUCCAGCCAGGUGUCCAUCAGGACCAUUCCUCACUGCACCCACUGAGCUGCAUGGGGAAACAGGGAAGAACUGCCUAAAACCCUUCCAG